AUUGAACGCUGGCGGCAUGCCUUACACAUGCAAGUCGAACGGCAGCAGGGACUUCGGUCCGCCGGCGAGUGGCGAACGGGUGAGUAAUGUAUCGGAACGUACCUUUCAGUGGGGGAUAACGUAGCGAAAGUUACGCUAAUACCGCACAUUCUCUGAGGAGGAAAGCAGGGGACCGUCGGGCCUCUCGCUGAUGGUGAGGCCGAUAUCAGAUUAGCUAGUUGGUGGGGUAAAGGCUCACAAAGGCGACGAUCUGUAGCGGGUCUGAGAGGAUGAUCCGCCACACUGGGACUGAGACACGGCACAGACUCCUACGGGAGGCAGCAGUGGGGAAUUUUGGACAAUGGGCGAAAGCCUGAUCCAGCCAUGCCGCGUGAGUGAAGAAGGCCUUCGGGUUGUAAAGCUCUUUCGGACGGGAAGAAAUCAUGAGGGCUAAUAACCCUUGUGGAUGACGGUACCGUAAUAAGAAGCACCGGCUAACUACGUGCCAGCCGCCGCGGUAA
rnacentral:rRNA from 1 species